rnacentral:rRNA from 1 species
AUGGCAUGGGCAAUUGAUAUCCCAUGCAUCCCUCAGACCCCUCUUGGGUGGGAAAGGAAUAUUACUCUAAGGAGUGAACAGGGCACCAGAUUCGCUGAUGUGUACUAUAUCUCUCCUGCAGGCAGAAAAGUAAGAUCCAUGAAAGAUGUCGAAAGGUAUCUUGAAGACAACCCAGACUAUGCUGCCAAAUUACAGUUAUCUCAGUUUUCGUUCAAGGUACCUAAACCUGCAAAUUGCCCUCGUCAGUCAGAGCUUGUUGAACCAACUGAAGUGCCACCUCCGGUUCACGACGAUCCCGUGCACAACUGCAUGUCGGUCCCCCAUGGAGAAGCCAAUCAUUUAACUCAUAUACCAGUUAUACUAGCUCUACAAGUACCAGUGACGCUCUCCAAAAAGAGAAAACUAAACCAGUGA